rnacentral:piRNA from 1 species
UCUCGUGCCCUAGAGGCCUCCUUGCCUGU